CAGCCCAGGGAGCAAAAUAAGGUGGCUUAGGUGUGUCCUGAAAAAUAGGUCCUUGUCUUUUGUGAAUGAAUAUUAGCUAAUCAACUGUAUUGCACUCUACACAACGAACAAGUAAGUAACAGAAAGGCGGCCAGUCAAAAUGGCGGGGAAAGCACAGAGGGAUGACGUUUGCAAUAACUAUCCCACCCUAGUCUGAGAAGGGCACAUCGGAUCCGGGGAACGAGCCUCCUUCCCAACAGCAAUACCGAUCUAAUAAAUACCUAUGAUCUGACUUACUAUGAAUGAGGACCGCUGUCAUCACAGAAAGAGGAAGAGUUAGAAGGUCCUCUUCAUUGACAGAAGCCUCAUGUGAUCCCAUAACACCUUUCCAGAAGUGCUCUUUCUGAUACUCCGGCCUUAGGAGAUAAAUGUCCUUCCCAAGGCAUUAUGCAGAACAGCCAGAGGACUUACAAUAACCUUGGACCACUGGGGGCCAACCUCAAGCCACUCACCUGUAUUUAUAAUCUCUGAAGCACAUUUGAUGAGCUUUGAGCUUAGAAAUGAGAAGCUUGAGAAUUUUCAGGAAGAUGAAGAAAUUGACCUUGAAAAAGAAGCAGAGUUGGCACCUAAGGUCAGAGAAGACAGUAGAAGACUUAAAAACAAGAGGAGGUUGAAAGUCAAAGUCUCAUGCCCUCUGGAAGAAGGACGCUUGCACUCAAGCCUUAAUUUCCACCAAUCAUUCCUCUGAAGGGAGGGAGAGGCAGAGGAGAGAACAAAAAUCCCUUCCUGUUAGUACUGGUACUGUUUACUUUCCUUACCAUUAAAUUGCUCC